UACGGGGGGAGCAAGCGUUGUUCGGAUUUACUGGGCGUAAAGGGCGCGUAGGCGGCCAGCACAAGUCAGUUGUGAAAUCUCCGAGCUUAACUCGGAAAGGUCAACUGAUACUGUGCGGCUAGAGUGCGGAAGGGGCAACUGGAAUUCUUGGUGUAGCGGUGAAAUGCGUAGAUAUCAUUUGGAACGCCAAUGGUGAAAACAGGUAGCUGGGGGUGUGCUGACGCUGAGACACGAAAGCCAGGGGAGCAAACGGG
rnacentral:rRNA from 1 species